rnacentral:tRNA from 1 species
GCAUCCAUGGAGCAGUAGUAUAGCUCAUUCCCCUUCCAUGGUGUAGUGGGCAAGGGAAAGACCCGGGUGCGAAUCCCGGUGGAUGCA